GACGAACGCUGGCGGCGUGCUUAACACAUGCAAGUCGAACGGAAAGGCCCUGCUUUUGUGGGGUGCUCGAGUGGCGAACGGGUGAGUAACACGUGAGUAACCUGCCCUUGACUUUGGGAUAACUUCAGGAAACUGGGGCUAAUACCGGAUAGGAGCUCCUGCUGCAUGGUGGGGGUUGGAAAGUUUCGGCGGUUGGGGAUGGACUCGCGGCUUAUCAGCUUGUUGGUGGGGUAGUGGCUUACCAAGGCUUUGACGGGUAGCCGGCCUGAGAGGGUGACCGGCCACAUUGGGACUGAGAUACGGCCCAGACUCCUACGGGAGGAAGCAGUGGGGAAUAUUGCACAAUGGGCGGAAGCCUGAUGCAGCAACGCCGCGUGCGGGAUGACGGCCUUCGGGUUGUAAACCGCUUUCGCCUGUGACGAAGCGUGAGUGACGGUAAUGGGUAAAGAAGCACCAGCUAACUACGUG
rnacentral:rRNA from 1 species